UUGAACGCUGGCGGCAGGCCUAACACAUGCAAGUCGAGCGGUAGCACAGAGAGCUUGCUCUCGGGUGACGAGCGGCGGACGGGUGAGUAAUGUCUGGGAAACUGCCUGAUGGAGGGGGAUAACUACUGGAAACGGUAGCUAAUACCGCAUAAUGUCGCAAGACCAAAGUGGGGGACCUUCGGGCCUCAUGCCAUCAGAUGUGCCAGAUGGGAUUAGCUAGUAGGUGGGGUAACGGCUCACCUAGGCGACGAUCCCUAGCUGGUCUGAGAGGAUGACCAGCCACACUGGAACUGAGACACGGUCCAGACUCCUACGGGAGGCAGCAGUGGGGAAUAUUGCACAAUGGGCGCAAGCCUGAUGCAGCCAUGCCGCGUGUGUGAAGAAGGCCUUCGGGUUGUAAAGCACUUUCAGCGGGGAGGAAGGCGAUAAGGUUAAUAACCUUGUCGAUUGACGUUACCCGCAGAAGAAGCACCGGCUAACUCCGUGCCAGCAGCCGCGGUAAUACGGAGGGUGCAAGCGUUAAUCGGAAUUACUGGGCGUAAAGCGCACGCAGGCGGUCUGUCAAGUCGGAUGUGAAAUCCCCGGGCUCAACCUGGGAACUGCAUUCGAAACUGGCAGGCUAGAGUCUUGUAGAGGGGGGUAGAAUUCCAGGUGUAGCGGUGAAAUGCGUAGAGAUCUGGAGGAAUACCGGUGGCGAAGGCGGCCCCCUGGACAAAGACUGACGCUCAGGUGCGAAAGCGUGGGGAGCAAACAGGAUUAGAUACCCUGGUAGUCCACGCCGUAAACGAUGUCGAUUUGGAGGUUGUGCCCUUGAGGCGUGGCUUCCGGAGCUAACGCGUUAAAUCGACCGCCUGGGGAGUACGGCCGCAAGGUUAAAACUCAAAUGAAUUGACGGGGGCCCGCACAAGCGGUGGAGCAUGUGGUUUAAUUCGAUGCAACGCGAAGAACCUUACCUGGUCUUGACAUCCACAGAACUUUCCAGAGAUGGAUUGGUGCCUUCGGGAACUGUGAGACAGGUGCUGCAUGGCUGUCGUCAGCUCGUGUUGUGAAAUGUUGGGUUAAGUCCCGCAACGAGCGCAACCCUUAUCCUUUGUUGCCAGCGGUUAGGCCGGGAACUCAAAGGAGACUGCCAGUGAUAAACUGGAGGAAGGUGGGGAUGACGUCAAGUCAUCAUGGCCCUUACGACCAGGGCUACACACGUGCUACAAUGGCAUAUACAAAGAGAAGCGACCUCGCGAGAGCAAGCGGACCUCAUAAAGUAUGUCGUAGUCCGGAUUGGAGUCUGCAACUCGACUCCAUGAAGUCGGAAUCGCUAGUAAUCGUAGAUCAGAAUGCUACGGUGAAUACGUUCCCGGGCCUUGUACACACCGCCCGUCACACCAUGGGAGUGGGUUGCAAAAGAAGUAGGUAGCUUAACCUUCGGGAGGGCGCUUACCACUUUGUGAUUCAUGACUGGGGUG
rnacentral:rRNA from 1 species